GCCCAUAUCACAUUGAAACAUGUGUUCUCAUAUAAUCAACGAAGUUAAGCAGCUUCGAGCCGAGUCAGUACCUAGAUGGGUGACCACUUGGGAAUACCAGGCGAUGUA